rnacentral:tRNA from 1 species
GGGGUUGUGGCUCAGUGGUAGAGCAUACAUCUUGCAUGUGUGAGGCACUGGGUUCGAUCCUCGGCACCA